UACAGAGGCCUCGAGCGUUAAUCGGAGUUACUGGGCUUAAAGGGUGCGUAGGCGGUUCUGUAAGUGCCUUGUGAAAUCCCAUGGCUUAACCAUGGAAUUGCUCGGUAGACUGCAGAACUUGAGGUCGGUAGAGGUCGCUGGAACUCUAGGUGGAGCGGUGAAAUGCGUAGAUAUCUAGAGGAACGCCAAAGGUGAAGACAGGCGACUGGGCCGAUUCUGACGCUGAGGCACGAAAGCGUGGGUAGCGAACGGG
rnacentral:rRNA from 1 species